UACGAAGGGGGCGAGCGUUGUUCGGAUUUACUGGGCGUAAAGGGCGCGCAGGCGGCUUUGUUUGUCAGGCGUGAAAGCCCCGGGCUUAACCUGGGAACUGCGUUUGAUACGGCAGGGCUAGAGUUCGGGAGAGGAGCGUGGAAUUCCCAGUGUAGAGGUGAAAUUCGUAGAUAUUGGGAAGAACACCGGUGGCGAAGGCGGCGCUCUGGACCGAGACUGACGCUGAGGCGCGAAAGCGUGGGGAGCAAACAGG
rnacentral:rRNA from 1 species